rnacentral:rRNA from 1 species
AUUGAACGCUGGCGGCAGGCUUAACACAUGCAAGUCGAGCGGAGAUGAGGUGCUUGCACCUUAUCUUAGCGGCGGACGGGUGAGUAAUGCUUAGGAAUCUGCCUAUUAGUGGGGGACAACAUUCCGAAAGGAAUGCUAAUACCGCAUACGUCCUACGGGAGAAAGCAGGGGAACUUCGGACCUUGCGCUAAUAGAUGAGCCUAAGUCGGAUUAGCUAGUUGGUGGGGAAAAGGCCUACCAAGCAGACGAUCUGUAGCGGGUCUGAGAAGAAGAUCCGCAACACUGGGACUGAGACACGGCCCAGACUCCUACGGGAGGCAGCAGUGGGGAAUAUUGGACAAUGGGGGGAACCCUGAUCCAGCCAUGCCGCGUGUGUGAAGAAGGCCUUAUGGUUGUAAAGCACUUUAAGCGAGGAGGAGGCUACUGAGACUAAUACUCUUGGAUAGUGGACGUUACUCGCAGAAUAAGCACCGGCUAACUCUGUGCCAGCCGCCGCGGUAACAC